AGUGAACGCUGGCGGUAGGCCUAACACAUGCAAGUCGAACGGCAGCACAGUAAGAGCUUGCUCUUACGGGUGGCGAGUGGCGGACGGGUGAGGAAUACAUCGAAAUCUACUUUUUCGUGGGGGAUAACGUAGGGAAACUUACGCUAAUACCGCAUACGACCUACGGGUGAAAGCAGGGGAUCUUCGGACCUUGCGCGAUUGAAUGAGCCGAUGUCGGAUUAGCUAGUUGGCGGGGUAAAGGCCCACCAAGGCGACGAUCCGUAGCUGGUCUGAGAGGAUGAUCAGCCACACUGGAACUGAGAUACGGUCCAGACUCCUACGGGAGGCAGCAGUGGGGAAUAUUGGACAAUGGGCGCAAGCCUGAUCCAGCCAUACCGCGUGGGUGAAGAAGGCCUUCGGGUUGUAAAGCCCUUUUGUUGGGAAAGAAAAGCAGCAGGUUAAUACCCCGCUGUUCUGACGGUACCCAAAGAAUAAGCACCGGCUAACUUCGUG
rnacentral:rRNA from 1 species